rnacentral:rRNA from 1 species
GUGGCGAACGGGUGAGUAACACGUGAGCAAUCUGCCCUUGACUCUGGGAUAACUGCGGGAAACCGUAGCUAAUACCGGAUACUUUCCUCGCUGGGCAUCCAGCGGGGAAGAAAGAAUUUCGGUCAAGGAUGAGCUCGCGGCCUAUCAGCUAGUUGGUGAGGUAAUGGCUCACCAAGGCGACGACGGGUAGCCGGCCUGAGAGGGUGACCGGCCACACUGGAACUGAGACACGGUCCAGACUCCUACGGGAGGCAGCAGUGGGGAAUAUUGCACAAUGGGCGAAAGCCUGAUGCAGCAACGCCGCGUGAGGGAUGAAGGCCUUCGGGUUGUAAACCUCUUUUAGCAGGGAAGAAGCGAAAGUGACGGUACCUGCAGAAAAAGCACCGGCUAACUACGUGCCAGCAGCCGCGGUAAUACGUAGGGUGCAAGCGUUGUCCGGAAUUAUUGGGCGUAAAGAGCUCGUAGGCGGUUUGUCACGUCUGCUGUGAAAAUCCGAGGCUCAACCUCGGACUUGCAGUGGGUACGGGCAGGCUAGAGUGCGGUAGGGGAGAAGGGAAUUCCUGGUGUAGCGGUGGAAUGCGCAGAUAUCAGGAGGAACACCAAUGGCAAAGGCACUUCUCUGGGCCGUAACUGACGCUGAGGAGCGAAAGCGUGGGGAGCGAACGGGAUUAGAUACCCUGGUAGUCCAC